rnacentral:tRNA from 1 species
AAGGAUUUAAGUUAAUUAAACUUUUAACCUUCAAAGUUAACAAUAGAAAAUGUUUCUAAGCCUUA